rnacentral:rRNA from 1 species
CCCCUAGACGUUCUGGGCUGCACGCGCGCUACAAUAAUACGCACAGCGAGUAUCACCGAGCUCGAAAGGUCAAGGUAAACAAUAGAAAAGGUACUGUAAUGGUUAUAGAUCCUUGUAAUUAUUGAUCUUCAACGAGGAAUUCCUAGUAAGUAUGUGUCAUCAUCACGCACUGAUUACGUCCCUGCCCUUUGUACACACCGCCCGUCGCUCCUACCGAUUGGGUGAGCCGAUGAAACUCUCGGAUGUAGGCUAUUCAUAGCCCGCAGAAGAGAUUUGAAUCGUAGCGCUUAGAGGAAGGAGAAGUCGUAACA